UUCAGAUGCUUGUAGAUUAACGAGUCUCAGGCUGAGUGAUUGAAUCCAGAUGAGGUACUUGAGAGGAGCAUGUAAUGGAGAAAUUAGAGAGAUGUUCCUACCAAGAUAAGUUGUUUUCAAUGGCCAUUGCAGCAGUGGAAUAUCUUGUCAGCGUUUGAGCGUCAUAUGUCCGACUGAUAAUUACAAUUUAGUCGUAAUUCAGGAAAAAUCACUUUCAUACUUAACAUUUGUUAUGACAAAUUAAAGCAAACAUUACGCAUACGCAAUCAACACUCUUAUCUCUGAAGUUCUGAAUCUGAACCACGUUGCGAAUUUCUACAUCCUUAUGAUUUUUGCAUUACAGUAAAUGGCCGAAAUUUGUAAAUUUGACUUCUGGUCAGCUGUGAGGGAGCCUGCCAUCUCUAUUGAAAUUAUCUCUGUUAACCUCUCAUCUCUUUCAUUGCAGUUACUGGUUAUCACAUUAUUGUUUUGUUUUUGGAAAACGAAUCGUUCUUCACGUUUUGUAAGUUUUGUGUAAUUUGUGGGUGUUGUAAUUGAUCGGUAAGAACUGAAAAUUUCAUUAUUCGUGCUUGAUACCAUUCUUUGACAAUGGGGCACAAACAUAAAAAGGAGGCAAAGAAAAAGAAGAAGCGCUCAGAAUCGCCAGAAUGUGUCGAUGUAGAAAGAGAGACGCCACCACAGGAAGCAUCAUAAAGAACGGCACAAGGAGAAACACUUGAAAAGGAGAAGGAAGAAGAAAUCAUUAUUAGUGAUGAUGAUGACCUUGUUGAAGUUCCCCCACCUCCAAAAAUCUCUCGUCACUCUCCAGGACCCCCACCUCCGAAAAUCUCUCGCCGCUCUCCAGGGACUCCAUCGCCUCCUCCAAUUGGAAGAACUCUCUCACCUCCGCCUCCGCCAACAAUCAAGUCCUCUUCGGACAGCAGCUUGUCAAUUGAAGAAACUAACAGGAUCCGUGCAAAGUUAGGUUUGGCACCUCUAGAAGUUCCUUCCAAUGAUGCCAAGAAAGAUGAAGACAGAAACCGAAGAUUGUCAUGGGCGGAACAGAUAUGGGCGAUUUCGUUCACAAACCUGCAGGUCGGUAUAAUUGGUACAGUUUUAGUCCUCCUAAAGUCUAAAGGAAGUUAUUGCAGGGAACUCUAUUGCUUAGAGCCAUAACUUUUUUUUUCACUACUUUCUCUUUCAAUCAGAUCAGUGGUACCCUUUUAAAAAUUUCUUGUUUUAAAAAGGUGAUACCACACAUAUUUUUAAUGCUUCG
rnacentral:lncRNA from 1 species